UGUGUUUACAACAUGAUUCCUUGCAGCUCACUGUUCCUGAAAUCAAGGCUGAAAUGGAGAAAACUCUCCAGUGGCUUGUUCCAGUAGCCACUGACACUACAAAGGCACAUUAAGGUUUUGGAUGAGUCGGAGAAUGGGCCAACACCGGAAACGAUUUUGGGAAGAAAGCAGACGUGCAGAGUACCAUAAUCCGGCUGCA